GAACACAGUGUAUGCGGAAUAAA
rnacentral:siRNA from 1 species